GGACAUGAGGGUGCUCCCGCGGCGACACCUGUCACCCCACUGAUCGCCAGCAUUGACCGGGCGGAUCUGGCUGACUAGGCGGGUGUCUCUCCCUCCCCUUACCACUCCAUAGGCGUCCCUCCCAAAGCUGCUUGGAGGGAGACUAUGACCUUCCCCGAGAGAGGAGGACCCUUCUGGGUUCAAGGGUACAAGACUACCUGAGCUCCCCUUCUAGAACCUCCCAACAAGCUCCAGACUUAGGAGAGUGAGGGGUAGUCAAGCUUCCACAUGGGGUAGGAGAGCAUGGGGUAGUCAAGGUUCCACGACUCUAGACACAUUCAAAUGAGACAUGGCGAACCCCUCGCCCUGCAACUCCAGCUGUCUCCAAGGU
ensembl:misc_RNA 7SK 7SK RNA